CCUUAGCCCGGAUUGUAACGGCAUCCUUUUGUAGUUGUAAGGUUUUAUAAACCUGACAACUACAAAAGAUAUAGUGAAAAGCCGGAAAUAGC
rnacentral:sRNA from 1 species